AUACUUACCUAGCAGAGAAAAGAUACCAUGAUGAUGAACAUGGCUUCCUUAAAUCUAAGUUAUAUAUUGCACUCCUAAUGUGCUGAUUCCUAAGUACUCCUCAAAUAUGGGAAACCCUACUGCGUAGUUUGUAAAAGUGGGGACUAUAUUUUCUCUCUCCC
rnacentral:snRNA from 1 species